UUUAUUCGCAUUAGGCAUCAGUUUAGACAUAGCCUAACAACAACAACAACAACAACAACUAAAACGGUGAAUAGAAUAAAAAGAUAAUAUAGUCAGGCUGGUUACGUAACGAGGAUGACUGUAAAGGUUCAUGUUGUAUACUGAGGAGCAUGAGGUUAUGCCUCCAAGUUCCGAAAGCUAGCUAAUGAUUUGAAGAAAGAGUUUCCAGAUAAACUUGACAUUACAAGUGAGGGUACUCCUAAUGUAACUGGCUGGUUUGAGGUUCUUGUUGAUGGCAAACCUGUUCACUCAAAAAAGAAUGGAGAUGGCUAUGUUGACAAUAAAGCAAAGAUUGACAGAAUUAAGAAACAUAUAGAACAAAGUUUGACGUAGUGAUUUACCUGCUAAAAAUAUGAUAACAACUGGACAUGGUUCAUUAAUUUCUGGAGAGAAGCUAGGAUGAUGAUUUAUGAUGAAACAAUUGAUGUGUCAUAGAUUGGAUGAUAACAGCUGCUGCCAGAUAUUGAAUAUUGUUCACUUGUUGCCAGUUUAUAUGUACAUAUUAAUGUGUUAUGCACUCUCAUAUAUUUUUUGUUCCAUUUGUUGUUACCAGUACAAGCAUGUAACUUGUUAUAUCUGCAGGAAAUACUGUGAUAAACAUUUACAUAUGAAUUUUUUUAGUGUUAAUCCUACUUUCAUUUUAUCGAUUCCCAGAUAAUGCAGGUCACUUUCAAUGUAAUUGAUCAGGAAAUCCUUUAGCUGUACCACUGCUUAAGCAUGUACAGAAGUGAAAGUAAAGGCAGUAUGUACUGGUAAACUGCUUGACAGCCUGCUUGCCUUUGCUGAACUGUGCUCUGCUAAAUUUAGUGUUGCACAUUUAUAUAGUCUGACCAAGCUCUAUACUGUUGGUAGCUCAAUUUUUGAAUUUGAAGGAAAGGCAAAUCAUUAUAUUAAAUUCAGUAUGUUAAGAUUUUACAUAGGUCAGUAUUGCACUGAAAUCCUAAAUGGUACAAUGUAUAUUGUUAGUGGCAUUACCUUUAUGGUGACACUAAAGUAAGAAAGAAUGAUAUGUUUAUACAUAUACAUGUAUCAAUGUGAUAUCUAAAAAGGCUGAUAAUUUUGAAUCUCUUUAUGUUUUGUUUUUUUACAUUUUAUGUUUAUUUUAAGUUCUUGCUUAAGGUACAAUGUAUCAUGUAUUCUCUUUUUCUAUUUGUUGAACUUGUUUUCUACAGUAACAUGUGAUGCAUCUACUCCUUCGCAAAUUGUUGAAAUUUCAACAAAUCUCGGGAAUUUUUCAUAUACAAACGAUAAAAAGUAAAUGAUACUGGAUAGUAUCAUUUAAAUUUGAUAUAGACUAUAAUAUCUGUCACUAUUCUUUUGUAUUGGAAGAAAAAGGGAAGUAAGAAAACUUUAUUACAUAGGAUUUCAAGAUUUGGACAGAUCAAGUUAUGAAAUAAAACUUAAGUUGUGUAUACAUGUAUAUUGUUUUCUCAUGCAUUUACAGACUAACUUUUAUAUAUUUACAUGUUUUCAUUCACCUUAAUUAAUAAAUAUUUUCGAGAUUUAA